rnacentral:rRNA from 1 species
CCUUGGUACGUGUACCAAGUUGACGGUACUGUAAGAAUAAGGAUCGGCUAACUCCGUGCCAGCAGCCGCGGUAAUACGGAGGAUCCAAGCGUUAUCCGGAAUCAUUGGGUUUAAAGGGUCCGUAGGUGGUUUAAUAAGUCAGAGGUGAAAUCCUGCAGCUCAACUGUAGAAUUGCCUUUGAUACUGUUAAACUUGAGUCAUUGUGAAGUAGUUAGAAUGUGUAGUGUAGCGGUGAAAUGCAUAGAUAUUACACAGAAUACCGAUUGCGAAGGCAGAUUACUAACAAUGCACUGACACUGAUGGACGAAAGCGUGGGUAGCGAACAGGAUUAGAUACCCUGGUAGUCCACGCCGUAAACGAUGGUCACUAGCUGUUCGACCAACAAUGGUUGGUUGAGUGGCUAAGCGAAAGUGAUAAGUGACCCACCUGGGGAGUACGCUCGCAAGAGUGAAACUCAAAGGAAUUGACGGGGGCCCGCACAAGCGGUGGAGCAUGUGGUUUAAUUCGAUGAUACGCGAGGAACCUUACCAGGGCUUAAAUGUACGUUGCAUGAUUUAGAGAUAGAUCUUUCUUCGGACUACGUACAAGGUGCUGCAUGGUUGUCGUCAGCUCGUGCCGUGAGGUGUCAGGUUAAGUCCUAUAACGAGCGCAACCCCUGUCGUUAGUUGCCAGCAUUUAAAGAUGGGUACUCUAGCGAGACUGCCGGUGCAAACCGCGAGGAAGGUGGGGAUGACGUCAAAUCAUCACGGCCCUUACGUCCUGGGCUACACACGUGCUACAAUGGCCGGUACAGAGAGCAGCCACCACGCGAGUGGGAGCGAAUCUAUAAAACCGGUCUCAGUUCGGAUCGCAGUCUGCAACUCGACUGCGUGAAGCUGGAAUCGCUAGUAAUCGGAUAUCAGCCAUGAUCCGGUGAAUACGUUCCCGGGCCUUGUACACACCGCCCGUCAAGCCAUGGAAGCUGGGAGUACCUGAAGUCGGUGACCGCAAGGAGCUGCCUAGGAUAAAACUAGUAACUGGGGCU